CACAGGGCCGUGCAACAGUUGGAGGCUUGUACUACACUCUGCUAAGGAGGUUCAGGGCAAGCAGCCUCCUGUCCCUAGCGAUGGGGAGACACGAACCAGAUCGGGAUCUGUUUGUCGUGCUGGAGCCUAGUAGGAGCCAUGCUCUCAGGUGAAGUCUCUGUAGGUUUUGAAGGUAAAUCUAUCCGGCAUCUUGCAAGAGAAGAUUCAGCAAGAGUGGAAGAGUACACGGUGCACAUACAGUCAUCCUCAACAGAUCCAUCUAGGAAGUUCCCUACUACUGGAAAAUGGACCUAGACACAUCCAGUCAAAGAGAUCUCUCCUGGUGACCUGUGAAUGAAUGAACUCCCUCACAAAUAUU